rnacentral:tRNA from 1 species
GAGGCAGUUCUUAGCUCCUUGGCGAAUUGGUCUCCGAAGCCGAGGGUCGCAGGUUCGAAUCCUGCCGGGCGCACCA